UUAUUACAUUUAGCGUUCAUGUAUAUGUUCAUAUUAUCUUUUCCGGCUGUUGGAAGUGUGAACUUGAACACCAUGUUUUGUACAGUAUGCGGGAGUUCACUAAAUACAAGGGGUAAUUUUUGUGCUAACUGUGGGACGGAUCUUCGAAAGUCUGACGAAUCAAAGACCUUGCGAAAUAGUGAUCCAUCAACAUCAGCUGGGCCUUCUACUGAUCCUCGUGCCACCAAACUUUUGACUUUUAAAGAGUAUUUGGCAGAUAUUUCAUUUGCCACUGUUGAGACAAGGAAGCGUCAAGAUCGUUUUGUCUCCACGAAAAAGGGGAAGAAGAAUGAGACUGUCAAGUUGCUAAUGAAUUAGUUGAUGAUGUUGUGGAAGAACAAUUAGAUUUGGAAGAAAUCAGACUAACAAAGACUCAAAAUGAAUUAUUGUGCACAGAACCACAGCUUGGAAAAGAAUCACAUUCCACAACUUUGGUUGGACUGUCAUCUAUUGAUGAUGCAACUUUAACACCACAUGCACUGGAGAACCUCCAAAAUUGUGAUGCUUUUGAGAUGAAUACUUUCCAAGGUGAGAGUUCUGAAGGGUCUACUUUUGUCCCAGAAAGUAUGGCAAAUGAGGUUAUGGAGCGAGAAGUGUUGCUUAUUCAUCGUUGUAAUGUGAAAGCAGACUUGCUGCACUAUUUUGAAAAAGGUGAUAUUUUAAAGAAGUGUGUGGAUGUCCAGAUGAUAGAUUCCAGAGGUGUCGAGGAGAAGGGCGAAGCAGUCGGCGUUGUCAGGUAUGCAUUUUCUCUGUUUUGGAAUGAAAUAGUUUCAUGUCAGGCGAGGAUGAACGAG